UCGCCCUGUUUAUCAAAAACAUUGCCUUUAGAUAAUAUUAAAGGUACGUCCUGCCCCGUGAGUUACGGCUUUAACGGCUGCGGUAUCCCUGACCGUGCAAAGGUAGCAUAAUCCAUCGCCUUUUAAUUGAAGGCUCGUAUGAAUGGAUAAACGAGAGGUUAAUUGUCUCAUCACUACACAUAAAAAUUAGUCUCCAUGUGAAGAAACCUGGAUAUAACUAAAAGACAAGAAGACCCUGUUGAGUUUAACUUAACCUAACCCCCUUUAUAUGCUCAAAGUAAUAUAAUGACAGUAAAAUAAGUUUGAUUGGGGCAAUUGAUGACUAAUCCCACCGUCAUCCGAGGAAAAGAAUUAAAUCGAUAAGACUAUCUGCUCACGCCAAAAGAAAAUAAUCUACUACCACAGGGAUAACAGACCAAUCUCCUCAAAGAGACCUAAUCGCAGAGGGGGAGUGGCACCUCGAUGUUGGCUUAGGGAAUCCUACAAGUGCAGCAGCUUGCAAGGAUAGUUUGUUCAACUAUUAAACCCCUACGUGAUCUGAGUCAGA
rnacentral:rRNA from 1 species